AAAUAAGUUGUGUUUAUUUAAAUUUAUGGUUAUUAAUAUAAAAUUCUUAAAUAAAAAAAUUUUUAUUUUUAUUAUAAUAAAAUUUUUUAUAAUUUAAAAUACUAAUAUAGAGAUUUUAAUUUAAAAUUGGUAAAUAAUUGUGCCAGCAACUGCGGUUAAACAAUAUUAUUAUUAUAUAAUUUAUGGUGUAUAAUUUUAAAUUUAUUUAUAAAAAAUAAUAAAAUUUAAGGUAGAAUUAUAAAAUUUAAUUAAAAAAAAUAUUAAAAAUUAUGAAAUGAAGUUUAUAAAAAAGAAUUAGAUACUCUUGUAUUCUUUAAGAAAAUUAAUAGUUUACUGUAUUAUUAAAUAGUUAUUAUCUAUAAAAUGAAUAUUUUUGGUAUAAUAAAAUUAUAAUUGGGGGAAUUUGUUUAGAUUCGACACUACUCGAUAAUUUUUAAUUUUUUUUUUAAGUUAAUGUAUUGUCAUUAUUAGGUAAAAAUAAAAAUUUUUACUAAAAUUUUUUAAUAAAAAUAAAUUAGAUCUUAAUGUUACUAUAUAAAAAAUGAAAAUUAAUUACAAUUUUUAAAAAAAAUUAUGAAUUAGAUUCAAAAAUGGAUUUAAGAAGGUGGAUUCAACUGUAAAAAAAAUUAUAAAAAAAUUAUUUGAAGUGAAAAGAUAAUUUUUAUUAAUUUACAUAUUGCCCGUCACUCUCAAAAUACGGUGAGAAAAGUCGUAACAGAAUAAAAUUACUUGAAGGUGAUUUUAGAUGUC
rnacentral:rRNA from 1 species